AGAAUUUAUAAGAACAAGUUGUUCAGUAACUUUGGACAAUGAACAGAGGAGAAAAACAUAGCAAAGAAUUUACAGCGUCGAGUUGUUCAGUAACUUUGUAUUGUACAUUGCACAAAUCAGAAACAUAUGCAAAUGUUUAGGGACUGAGAUCAAGUUCAUCUGCAACAUAUGCAAACCAGAAACGUAUGCGGCAAGUACAGUACAUUCUGUGUCGCACAUUGAGAAGCGUUCUCUCUUCUUUUUUUCUCCAACUCAGCAAAUAUCAUACAUAGAUCUUGAUGCCAUCACAAGAAUGCAAAAUAUAGCCCAUAAAUGAAACGUCACAAACAAUCCUUACCAAAGUUUGAGAAAAAUUGUGAAAACAUUUAGUUUAGAGGAAUUUUGUAGGAAAAAUAAUUUUGGAGCUCUUUGGCUUGUACUAAUGAAUUCAUAUUCCUAUGUAGGAUAGGAACCAAUCCAUCACAUUUCAAAGAAAAAAAAUAGCCUAGAUGUAAUGGAAAAGUUCCUAUCCUAUGAAUCAAGUGACAUCUCUUUCCCUAUAGGAAUUGAGAUACAUGUCAUCUCACUUCCUAUGGUUAAUUCCUAUAAUAUUCCUAUCCUAUGAACCAAAGGAGGCCUUAUUCAUAUAGAAAAAGAUUCACAUCAAUUUAAAACUUGGUACAAAUACAGAUUAGGUUGAUUCAUCACUGGCUUGUCUUUUCACCAAAUAUCACAUGUAGCUGCUUUUCACCAAAUAUCACAAGUAUGUUCAGAAAUAGAAGAAGUAUCAAAUUGUAUGAUGCAACAAGAUACAGCAAACAAAAGGGAGGAACCCUUCAACUGAUUGCAAUGAUGAAGGCUAAUGGUUCAGAUUUCAGAGAGACUUCAGAGAGACCAAUGGAUGGAUUCACAGGUCUGGUGUAUUUACAGGCAGACCGACCAACAGAGAAUUCACGGUCUAAAGACUUGAUCUCAUUUGCUGGUGCAGCCUUCACAGUUGUUAAAGAAUUUACUGUCGUAUUGAUUUUGAUGGGUCUCACCGGUUGGAUAUGGACCAAAGAAUUUAAUGAGUCGACUGUCAGAAAAAUAAACAUGAGCGAGACUAACUGGAAAUAUUUAAUAACCCCACCACAGAUAUUUGAAGAACAGCUA